CGAAGCUGCGGCAGCGACACUAUGUGUUGUUGGGUAGGGGAGCGUUCUGUAAGCCUGUGAAGGUGUGCUGUGAGGUAUGCUGGAGGUAUCAGAAGUGCGAAUGCUGACAUAAGUAACGAUAAAGCGGGUGAAAAGCCCGCUCGCCGGAAGACCAAGGGUUCCUGUCCAACGUUAAUCGGGGCAGGGUGAGUCGACCCCUAAGGCGAGGCCGAAAGGCGUAGUCGAUGGGAAACAGGUUAAUAUUCCUGUACUUGGUGUUACUGCGAAGGGGGGACGGAGAAGGCUAUGUUGGCCGGGCGACGGUUGUCCCGGUUUAAGCGUGUAGGCUGGUUUUCCAGGCAAAUCCGGAAAAUCAAGGCUGAGGCGUGAUGA
rnacentral:rRNA from 1 species